rnacentral:tRNA from 1 species
GGCGAAAUAGCUCAGUUGGGAGAGUUAGACUGAAGAUCUAAAGGUCCCUGGUUCGAUCCCGGGUUUCGCAG